GGUGCUGACCCUCUGGUUUGACUAUGGGUACUGGCCUGAAGUCAACAAGGCACUGGUGGAGGGCAUCAAAACCAUUCAGAUGGACACCUGGAUCUCACAUGCUCAUUUUCGAUUUGCUUUUAUUGUUAUGUCCGUUGUGAUAAAAGUUGAAACUGAAUUCUUCCCAUGGGCAAGGUGAUCCCCCAGCUGAUUGCCCACAAUGACACUCCCCGCGCUCUUGUGGGCCGCCUCAUCCACAAGCUGCUCACUGACAUUAUUCGCUAUCCGUUGACCGUGGCCUCCAAGUCUACCACCAAUGCCCGCCACAACGCUGCUAACAGGAUCCUCGAGAACAUGUGUGAGAACUGCAACACCCUGGUCCAGCAACCCAUCAUGGUGUCCAUUUUGGUGGAGGAGCUACAAUGGCGAUCCAACUUGUGGCCACACUUCCUUUUACACAGCCUGUUUUUAUCGAGUAACCAUGAACUUACUAAGUAACGACUCCAUUUUGUUGCUCCCUGCCUACAGACAGAAACUAAAACAAGAAGCUCCCGCGCUGAGGUCUGUUCAAUGCUGGUCCGACCAAUCUGAAUCCAUGCUCCAAGACUGCUUCCAUCACGUGGAUUGGGAUAUGUUUCGUAUUGCGUCAAACAACAACAUUAACGAAUAUGCUGAUUUGGUGAGCGAGUUCAUUAGAACGUGCGUUGAAGAUGUCGUUCCCAUAGCAACGAUUAAAACAUUCCCAAACCAGAAACCGUGGAUUGAUGGCAGCAUUCGUGUGAAACUGAAAGCGCGAACCACUGCUUUAAAUCAGGGCAAGGUGACCGGAAACAUGACCGAAUACAAACAGUGUAGCUAUUCCCUCCGCAAGGCAAACAAACAAGCUAAGCAUCAGUAUAGAGACAAAGUAGAAUCGCAAUUCAACGGCUCAGACACAAGAGGUAUGUGGCAG
rnacentral:lncRNA from 1 species